rnacentral:lncRNA from 1 species
UGAGCUGCUUAAACUGGUGCAGCUUUGUAAAUCGACACCUCCAGGCUAAUGAGAGAGGUUUUCCUUCACAGCAAAUUGUUUCAGCUUAUCUUGCAAACGUGAAUUAAGAAGCAUUGGCCCAAACUGCUUUAGUGGCGGAUGAUAAGUGAAAUAAUUUCUUCCACUGGCACAGAGAGAUAUGGAUGGAGGCAUAUUUUUUUUCCCCCACUUGUUUAAAGUGCCAAUUCCAUGUUCAGAUGAGCUUUAAGAUUUCUGCAGUUUCUAGAUCAUCUGAUAACUAUUUAUUUCAAAUUGCAUUUUGAAUGUGACGGGGUGAGAAAUCUAAUUUCAUUUUCAAAAGCAUAACUACUGUUUCUUUCUGAUGGUUGCUUUCCAUAGAUAGAGGCCAAUACUUGCAGGCAAGGUUCGCUUUCGUUUUGUUGUUGUUUGAAGUGGAAAAGGAGCAUGUAUGAAGGAAAGGAGGUGGUGGGGAUAUGGCUCUAGUUGCAGUGAUGCUGUUGCCGAAAGCAGGUACGGUUUUCCUGGUGUCGAGAAGUGGGGCAGAGGUGGACGUCUGCUGCUCGCCUCCUCCAGCAAGGUUAAAAAUAUACUUCCACAAACAGUGGGAACAAAAUCUUUACAGGUACGUAUGAAGUGA